rnacentral:rRNA from 1 species
CAGUGCCGCGGUAAUACGUAUGGUGCAAGCGUUAAUCGGAAUUACUGGGCGUAAAGCGUGCGCAGGCGGUUUGUUAAGACAGAUGUGAAAUCCCCGGGCUCAACCUGGGAACUGCAUUUGUGACUGGCAAGCUAGAGUCUGGCAGAGGGGGGUGGAAUUCCGCGUGUAGCAGUGAAAUGCGUAGAGAUGUGGAGGAAUACCGAUGGCGAAGGCAGCCCCCUGGGCCAAUACUGACGCUCAUGCACGAAAGCGUGGGGAGCAAACAGGAUUAGAGACCCGAGUAGUCCCUGUCUCUUAUACC